UCCGUAGGUGAACCUGCGGAAGGAUCAUUAAAUAAUCAAUAAUCUUGGCUAGUCCAUUAUUAUCUAUUUACUGUGAACUGUAUUAUUAUUUGACAUUUGAGGGAUGUUCCAAUGUUAUAAGGAUAGACAUUGGAAAUGUUAACCGAGUCAUAAUCAGGUUUAGGCCUGGUAUCCUAUUAUUAUUUACCAAAUGAAUUCAGAAUUAAUAUUGUAACAUAGACCUAAAAAAUCUAUAAAACAACUUUUAACAACGGAUCUCUUGGUUCUCGCAUCGAUGAAGAACGUAGCAAAGUGCGAUAACUAGUGUGAAUUGCAUAUUCAGUGAAUCAUCGAGUCUUUGAACGCAACUUGCGCUCAUUGGUAUUCCAAUGAGCACGCCUGUUUCAGUAUCAAAACAAACCCUCUAUCCAACUUUUGUUGUAUAGGAUUAUUGGGGGCCUCUCGAUCUGUAUAGAUCUUGAAACCCUUGAAAUUUACUAAGGCCUGAACUUGUUUAAAUGCCUGAACUUUUUUUUAAUAUAAAGGAAAGCUCUUGUAAUUGACUUUGAUGGGGCCUCCCAAAUAAAUCUUUUUUAAAUUUGAUCUGAAAUCAGGCGGGAUUACCCGCUGAACUUAAGCAUAUCAAUAAGCGGAGGA
rnacentral:rRNA from 1 species